CCUACGGGGGGCAGCAGCUAAGAAUCUUGCGCAAUGGGCGAAAGCCUGACGCAGCAAUUCCGCGUGAGGGACGAAGGCCCUAGGGUCGUAAACCUCUUUUGCGAGGGAAGAAGUUCUGACGGUACCUCGCGAAUAAGACACGGCUAACUACGUGCCAGCAGCCGCGGUAAUACGUAGGUGUCGAGCGUUGUCCGGAUUUAUUGGGCGUAAAGCGCCCGCAGGCGGCUUGGCAAGUUUGAGGUGAAAUCUCCCGGCUCAACUGGGAGGGUGCCUCGAAAACUGCCAGGCUUGAGGCAGGGAGAGGGAUGUGGAAUUCCCGGUGUAGUGGUGAAAUGCGUAGAUAUCGGGAGGAACACCAGUGGCGAAGGCGGCAUCCUGGCCCUGUCCUGACGCUCAGGGGCGAAAGCGUGGGGAGCAAACCGGAUUAGAUACCCGGGUAGUC
rnacentral:rRNA from 1 species